AUAAAACUGGUGAAGCGUCUGGAGAACAAGAAUUAUGAGGAGCAGCUGAGGGAACUGGGGUUGUUUAGCCUGGAGAAAAGGAGGCUCAGUAGAGACCUUAUUGCUCUCUACAGUUACCUGAAAGGAGGAUGUAGUGAGGUGGGGGCCGGUCUUUUCUCCCAAGUAAUAAUCAAAAGGACAAGAGGUAACAGCCUCAAGCUGUGCCAGGGGAUGUUUAGAUUGGAUAUUAGGAAAUAUUUCCUCAAGGAGAUGGUGAUCAGGUAUUGGAACAGGCUGCCCAGGAAAGUGGUGGAGUCACCAUCCCUAAAAGUGUUCAAAAAUGGUGUAGCUGCCCUCAGUGACAUGUUUUAGUGGUGGACUUGGCAGUCUGGGGGUAAUGGUUGGACUUGAUGAUCUUAAAGGUCUUUUCCAACCUAGUUGAUUCUAUAAUUGUGAUUCUAUAAAGCAAUGAACUUCAUCUCCACUUAACCAUGACAUGACAUAAGUCACCUUCAGGAGUUUCUGGAAAUGUGUGCAGGGGGAAGGAUAGUCUGUGGAGGUGUGUUGCCAACCAACAUGUGAGCCUACCCACUGAUUUUGGAAGGACGUUAUGGGAUUUUAAUGGAAUCCAACCCGGAUGGACUGUGGUAAACUGUAUCGUAUUUGAAAAAUGAAGGUGCCCUAAAAUCAGAAAAAAAAAAAAAAAAAUAGAAAAAGAGAAGCUUCCCAGGCUGUGAAAUCUGAGAUUAAAUAUUUGUAAUAAAAAAAAUGGCUCUGUCUACAGAUGAGCCCUUCAUCAUUCAUUUUACUUUAUUCUACUCAAAUUAUGUUAAAUAAAUCUCUCAGAACACUGCUCAUUUCAGUAGCAAAGCAAAAAAAAAAAAACUUUUUGUUUUUUUCUUUUAGUGGUCUGUUCAAGGAUAAUGCAAGGGUCUCUCAGUUACAGUAAAAAGCAAAAUGGAGAUUUAGAUUAUUCCCCUUUCACUAUCUGGUUUUCUGAAGAGAAUUCCACAGGACGUUGCCUCAGUCCAAGUCAGUUUUGUAGACAAUGUAACAUGUCUUCACUGUUCUGGGAUUGAAAAAAAUUAGCCUUAGCUUCUUUUGUUUUCUAUGGUUACUGUUGUACAGAAGAAAGACUUAAACUGUAAGUAAUGUAUAUUUAAUAAAAAGAGACUUUUUGUAUGAUUUUGUGUGGAAGACAAA